rnacentral:rRNA from 1 species
GAUGAACGCUGGCGGCGUGCUUAACACAUGCAAGUCGAACGAAGCACUUUACCGGAUUUCUUCGGAAUGAAAGUUUUGUGACUGAGUGGCGGACGGGUGAGUAACGCGUGGGUAACCCGCCUCAUACAGGGGGAUAACAGUUAGAAAUGACUGCUAAUACCGCAUAAGACCACAGGACCGCAUGGUGCGGUGGUAAAAACUCCGGUGGUAUGAGAUGGACCCGCGUCUGAUUAGCUAGUUGGUAAGGUAACGGCUUACCAAGGCGACGAUCAGUAGCCGACCUGAGAGGGUGACCGGCCACAUUGGGAYUGAGACACGGCCCAAACUCCUACGGGAGGCAGCAGUGGGGAAUAUUGCACAAUGGGGGAAACCCUGAUGCAGCGACGCCGCGUGAGCGAUGAAGUAUUUCG